GUUGUAUGGUCAAGUAAUGAAGUGCACAUGGUGGAUGCCUUGGCAGUCAGAGGCGAUGAAAGACGUGAUAGCCUGCGAUAAGCGUCGGUGAGGUGGCAAUAUCCUGUGACCCGGCGAUUUCUGAAUGGGGAAACCCACCUAAGAUAACUUAGGUAUCAUAAUUUAUUUUAUGAGGCGAACCGGGAGAAGUGAAACAUCUCAGUACCCCGAGGAAAAGACAUCAAUAGAGAUUCCCCAAGUAGCGGCGAGCGAACGGGGAGGAGCCGAUCAAUUUUACAGUAGCAAAAUGGCGUGGGAAAGCCAACCGUAGUAGGUGAUAGUCCUGUAUGCGAAACUGUUUAAGCGACAUAUUAAGUAGGGCGGAACACGAGAAAUUCUGUCUGAAGAUGGGGGGACCAUCCUCCAAGGCUAAAUACUCCUGACUGACCGAUAGUGAACCAGUACCGUGAGGGAAAGGCGAAAAGAACCCCUGUUAGGGGAGUGAAAUAGAACCUGAAACCGUGUGCAUACAAGCAGUCGGAGCGGAGUUAUUCCGUGACGGCGUACCUUUUGUAUAAUGGGUCAGCGACUUAUAUUCUGUAGCAAGGUUAACCAUCUAGGGGAGCCGUAGGGAAACCGAGUCUUAAUAGGGCGCAUAGUUGCAGGGUAUAGACCCGAAACCGAGUGAUCUAUCCAUGAGCAGGUUGAAAGUGCCGUAACAGGCACCGGAGGACCGAACCCACUGUCGUUGAAAAGCCAGGGGAUGACUUGUGGAUAGGGGUGAAAGGCUAAUCAAACUCGGUGAUAGCUGGUUCUCCCCGAAAGCUAUUUAGGUAGCGCCUCGGACGAACACCAUUGGGGGUAGAGCACUGUUUCGGCUAGGGGGUCAUCCCGACUUACCAAACCGAUGCAAACUCCGAAUACCGAUGAGUGAUAUCCGGGAGACAGACGGCGGGUGCUAACGUCCGUCGUCAAGAGGGAAACAACCCAGACCGCCAGCUAAGGCCCCAAAUUCCUAGUUAAGUGGGAAACGAUGUGGGAAGGCACAGACAGCUAGGAUGUUGGCUUAGAAGCAGCCAUCAUUUAAAGAAAGCGUAAUAGCUCACUAGUCGAGUCGGCCUGCGCGGAAGAUGUAACGGGGCUCAAACUAGGAGCCGAAGCUGCGGAUUUAAUUGUUUCAAUUAAGUGGUAGGGGAGCGUUGUGUAAGCCUGUGAAGGUGCACUGUAAGGUGUGCUGGAGGUAUCACAAGAGCGAAUGCUGACGUGAGUAACGACAAAACGGGUGAAAAGCCCGUUCGCCGGAAGACCAAGGGUUCCAGUCCAACGUUAAUCGGGGCUGGGUGAGUCGACCCCUAAGGCGAGGCCGAAAGGCGUAGUCGAUGGGAAAUCGGUUAAUAUUCCGAUACUUGUUUAUGAUGCGAUGGAGGGACGGAGAAGGUUAUGCCAGCCUGGCGAUGGUUGUCCAGGUGGAAGGAUGUAGUUAGACUGAGUAGGCAAAUCCGCUCGGUUAUUAAUGAGAUCUGAUAGCAAGCUGAUUGAUCAGCGAAGUGGCAAAUACCAUGCUUCCAGGAAAAGCUUCUAAGCAUAGUCAUAAAUGAAUCGUACCCGAAACCGACACAGGUGGUCAGGUAGAGAAUACCAAGGCGCUUGAGAGAACUCUGCUGAAGGAACUAGGCAAAAUGGUACCGUAACUUCGGGAGAAGGUACGCUCCUGUUUGUGAAAUCCUCGCGAUGUAAGCGAAUGGGAGUCGCAGAUACCAGGCUGCUGCAACUGUUUAUUAAAAACACAGCACUCUGCAAACACGAAAGUGGACGUAUAGGGUGUGAUGCCUGCCCGGUGCUGGAAGGUUAAUUGAUGGGGUUAGCGUAUGCGAAGCUCUUGAUCGAAGCCCCAGUAAACGGCGGCCGUAACUAUAACGGUCCUAAGGUAGCGAAAUUCCUUGUCGGGUAAGUUCCGACCUGCACGAAUGGCAUAAUGAUGGCAGCGCUGUCUCCAGCAGAGACUCAGUGAAAUCGAAAUCGCAGUGAAGAUGCUGUGUACCCGCGGCUAGACGGAAAGACCCCGUGAACCUUUACUACAGCUUUACAUUGAACUUUGACCUAACUUGUGUAGGAUAGGUGGGAGGCUUUGAAGUGGCGACGCCAGUUGCCAUGGAGCCAUCCUUGAAAUACCACCCUGGUUAUGUUGGGGUUCUAACUUGAGAUUAACAGAUCUAAGGACAAUGUAUGGUGGGUAGUUUGACUGGGGCGGUCUCCUCCUAAAGAGUAACGGAGGAGUACGAAGGUGCGCUCAGAACGGUCGGAAAUCGUUCAAAGAGUAUAAAGGCAAAAGCGCGCUUAACUGCGAGACCCACAAGUCGAGCAGGUACGAAAGUAGGUCUUAGUGAUCCGGUGGUUCUGUAUGGAAGGGCCAUCGCUCAACGGAUAAAAGGUACUCUGGGGAUAACAGGCUGAUACCGCCCAAGAGUUCAUAUCGACGGCGGUGUUUGGCACCUCGAUGUCGGCUCAUCUCAUCCUGGGGCUGAAGCAGGUCCCAAGGGUAUGGCUGUUCGCCAUUUAAAGAGGUACGCGAGCUGGGUUUAGAACGUCGUGAGACAGUUCGGUCCCUAUCUACCGUGGGCGUUGGAAAUUUGAGAGGAUCUGCUCCUAGUACGAGAGGACCAGAGUGGACGAACCUCUGGUGUUCCGGUUGUUUCGCCAGAAGCAUUGCCGGGUAGCUACGUUCGGAUGGGAUAACCGCUGAAAGCAUCUAAGCGGGAAGCCCACCUCAAGAUGAGAUUUCCCUAAAGAGCCGUUGUAGACGACGACGUUGAUAGGUUGGGUGUGGAAGCACAGCGAUGUGUGUAGCUAACCAAUACUAAUUGCUCGUUUGGCUUGACCAUACAACACCCAAG
rnacentral:rRNA from 1 species